UAUGGCCACAUCACGUUGAAACAUUGGUUCCCGUAUGGUCAUCGAAGGUAAGCAAUGUCGAGCCUGGUCAGUAUGUAGAUGGGUGACUUCUUGGGAAUACCAGGUGCUGUAAG